rnacentral:rRNA from 1 species
AGGGGAGUGAAAAAGAACCUGAAACCGUGUACGUACAAGCAGUGGGAGCACAGAGCAAUCUGUGUGACUGCGUACCUUUUGUAUAAUGGGUCAGCGACUUAUAUUCUGUAGCAAGGUUAACCGAAUAGGGGAGCCGAAGGGAAACCGAGUCUUAACUGGGCGUUAAGUUGCAGGGUAUAGACCCGAAACCCGGUGAUCUAGCCAUGGGCAGGUUGAAGGUUGGGUAACACUAACUGGAGGACCGAACCGACUAAUGUUGAAAAAUUAGCGGAUGACUUGUGGCUGGGGGUGAAAGGCCAAUCAAACCGGGAGAUAGCUGGUUCUCCCCGAAAGCUAUUUAGGUAGCGCCUCGUGAAUUCAUCUCCGGGGGUAGAGCACUGUUUCGGCAAGGGGGUCAUCCCGACUUACCAACCCGAUGCAAACUGCGAAUACCGGAGAAUGUUAUCACGGGAGACACACGGCGGGUGCUAACGUCCGUCGUGAAGAGGGAAACAACCCAGACCGCCAGCUAAGGUCCCAAAGUCAUGGUUAAGUGGGAAACGAUGUGGGAAGGCCCAGACAGCCAGGAUGUUGGCUUAGAAGCAGCCAUCAUUUAAAGAAAGCGUAAUAGCUCACUGGUCGAGUCGGCCUGCGCGGAAGAUGUAACGGGGCUAAACCAUGCACCGAAGCUGCGGCAGCGACGCUGAUGCGUUGUUGGGUAGGGGAGCGUUCUGUAAGCCUGUGAAGGUGUGCUGUGAGGCAUGCUGGAGGUAUCAGAAGUGCGAAUGCUGACAUAAGUAACGAUAAAGCGGGUGAAAAGCCCGCUCGCCGGAAGACCAAGGGUUCCUGUCCAACGUUAAUCGGGGCAGGGUGAGUCGACCCCUAAGGCGAGGCCGAAAGGCGUAGUCGAUGGGAAACAGGUUAAUAUUCCUGUACUUGGUGUUACUGCGAAGGGGGGACGGAGAAGGCUAUGUUGGCCGGGCGACGGUUGUCCCGGUUUAAGCGUGUAGGCUGGUUUUCCAGGCAAAUCCGGAAAACUAAGGCUGAGGCGUGAUGACGAGGCACUACGGUGCUGAAGCAACAAAUGCCCUGCUUCCAGGAAAAGCCUCUAAGCAUCAGGUAACAUCAAAUCGUACCCCAAACCGACACAGGUGGUCAGGUAGAGAAUACCAAGGCGCUUGAGAGAACUCGGGUGAAGGAACUAGGCAAAAUGGUGCCGUAACUUCGGGAGAAGGCACGCUGAUAUGUAGGUGAAGUCCCUCGCGGAUGGAGCUGAAAUCAGUCGAAGAUACCAGCUGGCUGCAACUGUUUAUUAAAAACACAGCACUGUGCAAACACGAAAGUGGACGUAUACGGUGUGACGCCUGCCCGGUGCCGGAAGGUUAAUUGAUGGGGUCAGCGCAAGCGAAGCUCUUGAUCGAAGCCCCGGUAAACGGCGGCCGUAACUAUAACGGUCCUAAGGUAGCGAAAUUCCUUGUCGGGUAAGUUCCGACCUGCACGAAUGGCGUAAUGAUGGCCAGGCUGUCUCCACCCGAGACUCAGUGAAAUUGAACUCGCUGUGAAGAUGCAGUGUACCCGCGGCAAGACGGAAAGACCCCGUGAACCUUUACUAUAGCUUGACACUGAACAUUGAGCCUUGAUGUGUAGGAUAGGUGGGAGGCUUUGAAGUGUGGACGCCAGUCUGCAUGGAGCCGACCUUGAAAUACCACCCUUUAAUGUUUGAUGUUCUAACGUUGACCCGUAAUCCGGGUUGCGGACAGUGUCUGGUGGGUAGUUUGACUGGGGCGGUCUCCUCCUAAAGAGUAACGGAGGAGCACGAAGGUUGGCUAAUCCUGGUCGGACAUCAGGAGGUUAGUGCAAUGGCAUAAGCCAGCUUGACUGCGAGCGUGACGGCGCGAGCAGGUGCGAAAGCAGGUCAUAGUGAUCCGGUGGUUCUGAAUGGAAGGGCCAUCGCUCAACGGAUAAAAGGUACUCCGGGGAUAACAGGCUGAUACCGCCCAAGAGUUCAUAUCGACGGCGGUGUUUGGCACCUCGAUGUCGGCUCAUCACAUCCUGGGGCUGAAGUAGGUCCCAAGGGUAUGGCUGUUCGCCAUUUAAAGUGGUACGCGAGCUGGGUUUAGAACGUCGUGAGACAGUUCGGUCCCUA